rnacentral:rRNA from 1 species
UACGGAGGGUGCAAACGUUGCUCGGAAUCAUUGGGCGUAAAGCGCACGUAGGUGGCUUGUUAAGUCGGGUGUGAAAUCCCUGGGCUCAACCCAGGAAGUGCACUCGAGACUGGCGAGCUUGAGUACUGAAGAGGGUCGCGGAAUUCCCGGUGUAGAGGUGAAAUUCGUAGAUAUCGGGAGGAACACCAGUGGCGAAGGCGGCGACCUGGGCAGAUACUGACACUGAGGUGCGAAAGCGUGGGGAGCAAACAGG